GAGGAAUGUGGCCUUUGGGCAUUGGGAGAUGCAGAUCCUCGAAGUUCUGCAUGUCACUAAUACUCACAGCAGUUCCAAAUAUAUUCGGAUGGCUAGCCAUUUCUAUAGCGAAAGACACAUGGCUUCUAUUUAUGGGAAGAUGGUUGAAAGGUUUUGGCGUGCGAAUAAUCUCUUAUGUGGUAAUCUUGGCUUCCUGAUUGCUUUUUAUUAAUUCCUUAAUUAAUAAAUAUAGGAAUAGGCAUUGG